rnacentral:rRNA from 1 species
AGAGUUUGAUCCUGGCUCAGGAUGAACGCUAGCGGCAGGCCUAACACAUGCAAGUCGAGGGGGAGGUUACUUUCGGGUAACUGAGACCGGCGUACGGGUGCGUAACGCGUAUACAAUCUGCCUUUCACUGGGGGAUAGCCCGAAGAAAUUUGGAUUAAUACCCCAUAGUAUAGGAGCACGGCAUCGUGAUACUAUUAAAGCUACGGUGGUGAAAGAUGAGUAUGCGUUCUAUUAGCUAGUUGGAGAGGUAACGGCUCCCCAAGGCGAUGAUAGAUAGGGGUUCUGAGAGGGAUGUCCCCCACACUGGUACUGAGAUACGGACCAGACUCCUACGGGAGGCAGCAGUGAGGAAUAUUGGACAAUGGUCGGAAGACUGAUCCAGCCAUGCCGCGUGCAGGAUGAAGGUCUUAUGGAUUGUAAACUGCUUUUGUAAGGGAAGAAUAAGGGCUACGCGUAGUUUGAUGACGGUACCUUAUGAAUAAGCAUCGGCUAACUCCGUGCCAGCAGCCGCGGUAAUACGGAAGGUCCGGGCGUUAUCCGGAUUUAUUGGGUUUAAAAAGGGAGGCGUAGGCCCGUGGAUUUAAGCGGUGUUGUGAAAAUGUAGACGCUCAACGUCUGACUUGCAGCGCGAGCUGGUCCACUUGAGUGUGCACAACGCAGGCGGAAUUCGUCGUGUAGCGGUGAAAUGCUUAGAUAUGACGAAGAACCCCGAUUGCGAAGGCAGCUUGCGGGAGCACGACUGACGCUGAAGCUCGAAAGUGCGGGUAUCGAACAGGAUUAGAUACCCUGGUAGUCCGCACGGUAAACGAUGGAUGCCCGUUGUCAGGCUGUUUCAGCCUGGUGACCAAGCGAAAGCAUUAAGCAUCCCACCUGGGGGAGUACGCCGGCAACGGUGAAACUCAAAGGAAUUGACGGGGGCCCGCACAAGCGGAGGAACAUGGUGGUUAAAUUCGAUGAUACGCGAGGAACCUUACCCGGGCUUGAAUUGCAGACGAACGCUUCAGAGAUGAAGAGUCCCUUCGGGGCGUCUGUGAAGGUGCUGCAUGGUUGUCGUCAGCUCGUGCCGUGAGGUGUCGGCUUAAGUGCCAUAACGAGCGCAACCCCUAUUCUCGGUUGCCAUCGGGUAAUGCCGGGCACUCCGUGGAGACUGCCACCGUAAGGUGUGAGGAAGGUGGGGACGACGUCAAAUCAGCACGGCCCUUACGUCCGGGGCUACACACGUGUUACAAUGGCCGGUACAGCGAGUCGGCCGCAUGCAAAUGCGGUCCAAUCCUGAAAGCCGGUCCCAGUUCGGACCGGGGUCUGCAACCCGACCCCGCGAAGCCGGAUUCGCUAGUAAUCGCGCAUCAGCCAUGGCGCGGUGAAUACGUUCCCGGGCCUUGUACACACCGCCCGUCAAGCCAUGAAAGCCGGGGGUGCCUGAAGUCGGUCACCGCAAGGAGCUGCCUAGGGUAAAACCAGUGACUGGGGCUAAGUCGUAACAAGGUAACC